AUGCACGCUGGCGGCGUGCCUCAUACAUGCACGUCGAGCGAACGGACGAGAAGCUUGCUUCUCUGAUGUUAGCGGCGGACGGGUGAGUAACACGUGGAUAACCUACCUAUAAGACUGGGAUAACUUCGGGAAACCGGAGCUAAUACCGAAUAAUAUUUUGAACCGCAUGGUUCAAAAGUGAAAGACGGUCUUGCUGUCACUUAUAGAUGGAUCCGCGCUGCAUUAGCUAGUUGGUAAGGUAACGGCUUACCAAGGCAACGAUGCAUAGCCGACCUGAGAGGGUGAUCGGCCACACUGGAACUGAGACACGGUCCAGACGCCUACGGGAGGCAGCAGUAGGGAAUCUUCCGCAAUGGGCGAAAGCCUGACGGAGCAACGCCGCGUGAGUGAUGAAGGUCUUCGGAUCGUAAAACUCUGUUAUUAGGGAAGAACAUAUGUGUAAGUAACUGUGCACAUCUUGACGGUACCUAAUCAGAAAGCCACGGCUAACUACGU
rnacentral:rRNA from 1 species